UACAGAGACUGCAAGCGUUGUUCGGAUUCAUUGGGCGUAAAGGGUCCGUAGGCGGUCGGUUAAGUCGGAUGUGAAAUCUCGUGGCCUAACCACGAGCGGUCAUUCGAAACUAAUCGGCUAGAGGGCUGGAGAGGAGACUGGAAUUGUCGGUGUAGCGGUGAAAUGCGUAGAGAUCGACAAGAACACCGGUGGCGAAGGCGGGUCUCUGGGCAAUUCCUGACGCUGAGGCGCGAAAGCGUGGGGAGCAAACGGG
rnacentral:rRNA from 1 species